rnacentral:rRNA from 1 species
AGACCCGAAACCCGGUGAUCUAGCCAUGGGCAGGUUGAAGGUUGGGUAACACUAACUGGAGGACCGAACCGACUAAUGUUGAAAAAUUAGCGGAUGACCUGUGGCUGGGGGUGAAAGGCCAAUCAAACCGGGAGAUAGCUGGUUCUCCCCGAAAGCUAUUUAGGUAGCGCCUCGUGAACUCAUCUUCGGGGGUAGAGCACUGUUUCGGCUAGGGGGCCAUCCCGGCUUACCAACCCGAUGCAAACUACGAAUACCGAAGAAUGUUAUCACGGGAGACACACGGCGGGUGCUAACGUCCGUCGUGAAGAGGGAAACAACCCAGACCGCCAGCUAAGGUCCCAAAGUCAUGGUUAAGUGGGAAACGAUGUGGGAAGGCACAGACAGCCAGGAUGUUGGCUUAGAAGCAGCCAUCAUUUAAAGAAAGCGUAAUAGCUCACUGGUCGAGUCGGCCUGCGCGGAAGAUGUAACGGGGCUAAACCAUGCAC